AUUGAACGCUGGCGGCAGGCCUAACACAUGCAAGUCGAGCGGUAGAGAGGUGCUUGCAUCUCUUGAGAGCGGCGGACGGGUGAGUAAUGCCUAGGAAUCUGCCUAGUGGUGGGGGAUAACGUUCGGAAACGGACGCUAAUACCGCAUACGUCCUACGGGAGAAAGCGGGGGAUCUUCGGACCUCGCGCCAUUAGAUGAGCCUAGGUCGGAUUAGCUAGUUGGUGAGGUAAUGGCUCACCAAGGCGACGAUCCGUAACUGGUCUGAGAGGAUGAUCAGUCACACUGGAACUGAGACACGGUCCAGACUCCUACGGGAGGCAGCAGUGGGAAUAUUGGGACAAUGGGCGAAAGCCUGAUCCAGCCAUGCCGCGUGUGUGAAGAAGGUCUUCGGAUUGUAAGGCACUUUAAGUUGGGAGGAAGGGUAGUAACCUAAUACGUUGCUACUUUGACGUUACCGACAGAAUAAGCACCGGCUAACUUCGUGCCAGCACG
rnacentral:rRNA from 1 species